rnacentral:rRNA from 1 species
CAGCCGCCGCGGUAGUACGUAGGUGGCAAGCGUUGUCCGGAAUUAUUGGGCGUAAAGGGCUCGCAGGCGGUUUCUUAAGUCUGAUGUGAAAGCCCCCGGCUCAACCGGGGAGGGUCACUGGAAACUGGGAAACUUGAGUGCAGAAGAGGAGAGUGGAAUUCCACGUGUAGCGGUGAAAUGCGUAGAGAUGUGGAGGAACACCAGUGGCGAAGGCGACUCUCUGGUCUGUAACUGACGCUGAGGAGCGAAAGCGUGGGGAGCGAACAGGAUUAGAUACCCCUGUAGUCCCUGUCUCUUAUAA